UACGGAGGGUGCAAGCGUUAUCCGGAUUCACUGGGUUUAAAGGGUGCGUAGGUGGGCAGGUAAGUCAGUGGUGAAAUCUCUGGGCUUAACCCGGAAACUGCCGUUGAUACUAUCUGUCUUGAAUGUAGUGGAGGUGAGCGGAAUAUGUCAUGUAGCGGUGAAAUGCUCAGAUAUGACAUAGAACACCCAUUGCGAAGGCAGCUCGCUACACUAUUAUUGACACUGAGGCACGAAAGCGUGGGGAUCAAACAGG
rnacentral:rRNA from 1 species